GUUUUCCGUAGGUGAACCUGCGGAAGGAUCAUUGUCG
rnacentral:rRNA from 1 species